GAUGAAGAACGUAGCGAAAUGCGAUAAGUAAUGCGAAUUGCAGAAUCCAGCGAGUCAUCGAAUCUUUGAACGCACAUUGCGCCCGCCAGCACUCUGGCGGGCAUGCCUGUCCGAGCGUCACACUCCACACGUCAAGCCCAGCUUGUGCUGGGGCCCUGCGGCCGCCGCAGGCCCCUAAACCCAGUGGCGGGACCGCCGCCGCGCCGAGCGUAGUACAGCACCUCGCUCCGGCACGGCGGCGGCCACCGGCCGUUAAACAGCCCACGGGCGCACAGGUGGACCUCGGAUCAGGUAGGAAUACCCGCUGAACUUAAGCAUAUCAAUAAGCGGAGGA
rnacentral:misc_RNA from 1 species